rnacentral:rRNA from 1 species
UACGUAGGGUGCAAGCGUUGUCCGGAAUUAUUGGGCGUAAAGAGCUUGUAGGCGGUUUGUCGCGUCUGCUGUGAAAUUUCGGGGCUCAACCCCGAACUUGCAGUGGGUACGGGCAGACUAGAGUGUGGUAGGGGAGACUGGAAUUCCUGGUGUAGCGGUGAAAUGCGCAGAUAUCGGGAGGAACACCUAUGGCGAAGGCAGCUCGCUGGGACGGCACUGACGCUGAGACGCGAAAGCGUGGGGAGCAAACAGG